rnacentral:misc_RNA from 1 species
UAAUAAGUGUUUUAUGGCACUUUUUAAAUCCAUAUCCACCUUGUGUGCAAUGUCAGUCGAUCUUCUUCAUGGAGAUCGACCAAACAUCAACCUUUAUUCUUUAACUCUUUGUCUGAAAAAUAUUAUGAAUAAACAAUUCAAAAUA